CUCACGUGGUUUGGUUUCCUGCAAAGGAAGUCAUUCUUCCUGCUCCGUGACGAAUGUCAACUAUCAGCUCUGUGAUGUACAAAGGAAAAUCAUCAAAUGGCUGCAAGCAAUAAAAUUUACCCCAAAAGAGCGAUUCAUUGUAGUUUCGGUAAUUAGAUUAAGUUCUCUUUGAUAUCAGGAAACCUGUUGGUGCCGCAUAUUAUUGACUCAGCCGACGUGUCUCAGUAGUAUUUUCCAUCAAAACAACUGUAAUGAGUUAUUUGCAGUCAUUAUAAGGUGGAUGUGAGCCCGGUGCAUGAAUAUUUUGUGGGCUGGAUUAGUGUAGAAUUAUACCUGCACCCUAGAAGAGUCUAAAAGGUUCACUAAAGAUACAGAUAUUCACUAAAGUGAGAAUUCAAAGGGAAUUUUAAAAGUUUGGUAGAAACAGCAACACUGUAAAAAGUCUCUAAGUCAGCUAGGGUUUCAGUUUGGCUGCUCUGGUCUUCAAUGUGAAAUUCUGAGGAGCCAAAAGGAUGCUUACAAUUAACUUCAGAGACCACAGGGGGAGAUUUACCAAAGUGUCGUCGACAUUUUUACAUUAGCUUUUUGGCUCAAUUUAUAAAAUCUGUUGGAAUUUUUCAUUUUUUUGCUAUUUGUGCCCUAAUUGUAAUUUUUGAAUACAGUGGAACCUUGGAACUCGAACCCAAACAAUACGGUAGUCGAGCAAAAAAUUAGAGAAGAAAAUGUCUCGGUACACGAAC